AUGGUGCUCCGGAACGACAGAUGCGAGGUUCUAAUGGCAGCCUAUCGGUUCAUCUUCUAUUGCAAUGACCCACUUGAGGCAGAAUUGCAUGCGAUCAUGCACGGGUUGGCCCUAGCAUUACAACAUUCCGACUUACCGGUGGUGGUUCAAACGGACUCCUCUGAAGCAUUGUCUAGCUUGACAAAUGAUGCACUUCUUCGCUCGGCUUAUGGACAGAUCAUCCUGGAGAUCAAGUCACUCUUAGAUACUAGGGAGUUUUUUCCUCAAAAGAUUAGUAGACUUUAAAAUAGAGUUGCCGAUCAGUUGGCUAACUAUAGCCGCACUGAGCGUGCCACGGCUGUUUGGCUUGGCUCGGUUCCACCAUGUAUGGAGAAUUUGUGA
rnacentral:rRNA from 1 species